AUACUCUGGUUUCUCUUCAGAUCGUAUAAAUCUUUCGCCUUUUACUAAAGAUUUCCGUGGAGAGGAACAAUUCUGAGUUUUUACUCAAUUUUUUGAGGCCUUGCUUUUGCAAGGCU
ensembl:snRNA U5 U5 spliceosomal RNA